GCGGUGGCUGGAUGCUGCAGCUGCAGGGACUCAGCGUGGAGGAGGGCUCCUGUGCAGGGGGAGAAGCAGAGAUGCAACAUUUUUAAAGUUUCACAAAGCAUCCAGCUGCACCCAGCUUGAGAAGAUAUGAGUGGCCCAGAGAGCGAGUGGGUGCCAGGCCAGAUCCUCUCCUAGCCCCCAAGGGGAGGCAGAGUGGAAUUCACUUUCCGGGGUGGAGCACACAGAGUGGAGAAAGGAGUUCUCUAAGAGUGACAAGACACCAAGAGUGUGAUGGAUGGAUUCUUUACCCACUGAGCUACCCUCAUGGUUACCUGCUAAGUGUCUGCCCUGAGGUCCUGAUCAUCCCUUUGGAGUUUUUAGUAAAAGACUGAAAAAUAAAAUGUUGUGGACUUUAACA
rnacentral:lncRNA from 1 species